UACGGGGGGGGCAAGCGUUGUUCGGAAUUACUGGGCGUAAAGGGCUCGUAGGCGGUCAACUAAGUCCGAUGUGAAAUCCCCAGGCUUAACCUGGGAACUGCGUCGGAUACUGGAUGGCUUGAAUUCGGGAGAGGGAUGCAGAAUUCCAGGUGUAGCGGUGAAAUGCGUAGAUAUCUGGAGGAAUACCGGUGGCGAAGGCGGCAUCCUGGACCGACAUUGACGCUGAUGAGCGAAAGCUAGGGGAGCAAACGGG
rnacentral:rRNA from 1 species